rnacentral:rRNA from 1 species
UUGGAGGGCAAGUCUGGUGCCAGCAGCCGCGGUGAUUCCAGCUCCAAUAGCGUAUAUUAAAGUUGUUGCGGUUAAAAAGCUCGUAGUUGAAUUUCGGGAUCAAAUUGUCGGUCGUGCCUCGGUACGCACUGGUAUUAUUGGUUCCUACCUUCUGAAGAACCGCGAUGUCAUUAAUUUGGUGUCGUGGGGAAUCAGGACUGUUACUUUGAAAAAAUUAGAGUGUUUAAAGCAGGCUUACGCUUGAAUACAUCAGCAUGGAAUAAUGAAAUAGGACGUUUGAUUCUAUUUUGUUGGUUUCUAGGAUUGACGUAAUGAUUAAUAGGGAUAGUUGGGGGCAUUAGUAUUCAAUUGUCAGAGGUGAAAUUCUUGGAUUUAUUGAAGACUAACUACUGCGAAAGCAUUUGCCAAGGAUGUUUUCAUUAAUCAAGAACGAAAGUUAGGGGAUCGAAGACGAUCAGAUACCGUCGUAGUCUUAACCAUAAACUAUGCCGACUAGGGAUCGGAUGAUGUUAAUUUUUUAAUGACUCAUUCGGCGCCUUACGGGAAACCAAAGUGUUUGGGUUC